rnacentral:ncRNA from 1 species
GCAGUGAAGCCGCACCGGUGGUCCCGUGAGAAGGAUCGGUGCGGAUGAAGGUGAUCUCCGCCCUUGCCUGGGCGGGAGCAUCGUGAGCGUCCGGCGUCUGAGAGUUCCAGCUCUCAGGCGCCGUCG